rnacentral:lncRNA from 1 species
CUCGAGUUGCGCAUGACCACCUUCAGCUGCUGCCUGCUGCCCGUCUUCAGUUGUCAUCGGCUGCAUACUACUCCGCUGCCAUCGUGUGAGGAGCUGCAAACGUGGAUGGACACCCCCUAAAGAGGAGAUCGGGAGUGGGGAGAGGAACUAUGCCAUGGGCCAUGGCACUGGCCUGGAAGUGGGGUCGAUGGGGCUAGGUUGUGGAAGAAUGGUUGGUGAAGGCGGACGGUGGAAGGGAGCAAGCACCAACGCUGUCAAGCGGUAGCAUUGCCACUGUGUCGUCUGCCCAUCUCUGCUCAUCAUUGAGGACGAUGCAGCAAGCUGAGCCCCCUGUCCUUUAAUUUUUUUUCCAGAUCUUGCAGUAUACCAACAUGAUAAAAGUGCUUAACGGGUUGAUGAGAAAAACAAAUGUAAAUAUUCAUAGUUUGUUUGUCCCGAUCAAAAGUUUUGAUUUUUAUGAAUCGAGAUAAAUGACCAUGCUUUUUGGUAAUAAAUAAAUGCUAU